rnacentral:rRNA from 1 species
UGAUGGCGUGCCUUUUGUAGAAUGAACCGGCGAGUUACGAUUUGAUGCAAGGUUAAGCAGUAAAUGUGGAGCCGUAGCGAAAGCGAGUCUGAAUAGGGCGUUUAGUAUUUGGUCGUAGACCCGAAACCAGGUGAUCUACCCUUGGUCAGGUUGAAGUUCAGGUAACACUGAAUGGAGGACCGAACCGACUUACGUUGAAAAGUGAGCGGAUGAACUGAGGGUAGCGGAGAAAUUCCAAUCGAACCUGGAGAUAGCUGGUUCUCUCCGAAAUAGCUUUAGGGCUAGCCUCAAGUGAUGAUUAUUGGAGGUAGAGCACUGUUUGGACGAGGGGCCCCUCUCGGGUUACCGAAUUCAGACAAACUCCGAAUGCCAAUUAAUUUAACUUGGGAGUCAGAACAUGGGUGAUAAGGUCCGUGUUCGAAAGGGAAACAGCCCAGACCACCAGCUAAGGUCCCAAAAUAUAUGUUAAGUGGAAAAGGAUGUGGCGUUGCCCAGACAACUAGGAUGUUGGCUUAGAAGCAGCCAUCAUUUAAAGAGUGCGUAAUAGCUCACUAGUCGAGUGACACUGCGCCGAAAAUGUACCGGGGCUAAACAUAUUACCGAAGCUGUGGAUUGUCCUUUGGACAAUGGUAGGAGAGCGUUCUAAGGGCGUUGAAGCAUGAUCGUAAGGACAUGUGGAGCGCUUAGAAGUGAGAAUGCCGGUGUGAGUAGCGAAAGACGGGUGAGAAUCCCGUCCACCGAUUGACUAAGGUUUCCAGAGGAAGGCUCGUC